GAUGAACGCUGGCGGCGUGCCUAAUACAUGCAAGUCGAGCGAACGGACGAGAAGCUUGCUUCUCUGAUGUUAGCGGCGGACGGGUGAGUAACACGUGGAUAACCUACCUAUAAGACUGGGAUAACUUCGGGAAACCGGAGCUAAUACCGGAUAAUAUUUUGAACUGCAUGGUUCAAAAGUGAAAGACGGUCUUGCUGUCACUUAUAGAUGGAUCCGCGCUGCAUUAGCUAGUUGGUAAGGUAACGGCUUACCAAGGCAACGAUGCAUAGCCGACCUGAGAGGGUGAUCGGCCACACUGGAACUGAGACACGGUCCAGACUCCUACGGGAGGCAGCAGUAGGGAAUCUUCCGCAAUGGGCGAAAGCCUGACGGAGCAACGCCGCGUGAGUGAUGAAGGUCUUCGGAUCGUAAAACUCUGUUAUUAGGGAAGAACAUAUGUGUAAGUAACUGUGCACAUCUUGACGGUACCUAAUCAGAAAGCCACGGCUAACUACGUGCCAGCAGCCGCGGUAAUACGUAGGUGGCAAGCGUUAUCCGGAAUUAUUGGGCGUAAAGCGCGCGUAGGCGGUUUUUUAAGUCUGAUGUGAAAGCCCACGGCUCAACCGUGGAGGGUCAUUGGAAACUGGAAAACUUGAGUGCAGAAGAGGAAAGUGGAAUUCCAUGUGUAGCGGUGAAAUGCGCAGAGAUAUGGAGGAACACCAGUGGCGAAGGCGACUUUCUGGUCCGUAACUGACGCUGAUGUGCGAAAGCGCGGGGAUCAAACAGGAUUAGAUACCCUGGUAGUCCACGCCGUAAACGAUGAGUGCUAAGUGUUAGGGGGUUUCCGCCCCUUAGUGCUGCAGCUAACGCAUUAAGCACUCCGCCUGGGGAGUACGACCGCAAGGUUGAAACUCAAAGGAAUUGACGGGGACCCGCACAAGCGGUGGAGCAUGUGGUUUAAUUCGAAGCAACGCGAAGAACCUUACCAAAUCUUGACAUCCUUUGACAACUCUAGAGAUAGAGCCUUCCCCUUCGGGGGACAAAGUGACAGGUGGUGCAUGGUUGUCGUCAGCUCGUGUCGUGAGAUGUUGGGUUAAGUCCCGCAACGAGCGCAACCCUUAAGCUUAGUUGCCAUCAUUAAGUUGGGCACUCUAAGUUGACUGCCGGUGACAAACCGGAGGAAGGUGGGGAUGACGUCAAAUCAUCAUGCCCCUUAUGAUUUGGGCUACACACGUGCUACAAUGGACAAUACAAAGGGCAGCGAAACCGCGAGGUCAAGCAAAUCCCAUAAAGUUGUUCUCAGUUCGGAUUGUAGUCUGCAACUCGACUACAUGAAGCUGGAAUCGCUAGUAAUCGUAGAUCAGCAUGCUACGGUGAAUACGUUCCCGGGUCU
rnacentral:rRNA from 1 species